GCUAACCUGUACUAAUUGCCCGUGAGGCUUAACCAUACAACACCCAAGGGGUUUUGUA
rnacentral:rRNA from 1 species